GACGAACGCUGGCGGCGUGCCUAAUACAUGCAAGUUGAGCGCUGAAGGUUGGUACUUGUACCCACUGGAUGAGCAGCGAACGGGUGAGUAACGCGUGGGGAAUCUGCCUUUGAGCGGGGGACAACAUUUGGAAACGAAUGCUAAUACCGCAUAAAAACUUUAAACACAAGUUUUAAGUUUGAAAGAUGCAAUUGCAUCACUCAAAGAUGAUCCCGCGUUGUAUUAGCUAGUUGGUGAGGUAAAGGCCCACCAAGGCGAUGAUACAUAGCCGACCUGAGAGGGUGGUCGGCCACAUUGGGACUGAGACACGGCCCAAACUCCUACGGGAGGCAGCAGUAGGGAAUCUUCGGCAAAGGACGAAAGUCUGACCGAGCAACGCCGCGUGAGUGAAGAAGGUUUUCGGAUCGUAAAACUCUGUUGGUAGAGAAGAACGUUGGUGAGAGUGGAAAGCUCAUCAAGUGACGGUAACUACCCAGAAAGGGACGGCUAACUACGUG
rnacentral:rRNA from 1 species